GAUGAACGCUAGCUACAGGCUUAACACAUGCAAGUCGAGGGGAAACGAUAUUGGAAGCUUGCUUCCGAUAGGCGUCGACCGGCGCACGGGUAAGUAACGCGUAUCCAACCUGCCCACCACUUGGGGAUAACCUUGCGAAAGUAAGACUAAUACCCAAUGAUAUCUCUAGAAGACAUCUGAAGGAGAUUAAAGAUUCAUCGGUGAUGGAUGGGGAUGCGUCUGAUUAGCUUGUUGGCGGGGUAACGGCCCACCAAGGCGACGAUCAGUAGGGGUUCUGAGAGGAAGGUGCCCCACAUUGGAACUGAGACACGGUCCAAACUCCUACGGGAGGCAGCAGUGAGGAAUAUUGGUCAAUGGGCGAGAGCUUGAACCAGCCAAGUAGCGUGCAGGAUGACGGCCCUAUGGGUUGUAAACUGCUUUUAUAAGGGAAUAAAGUGAGUCUCGUGAGACUUUUUGCAUGUACCUUAUGAAUAAGGACCGGCUAAUUCCGUGCCAGCAGCCGCCGUAA
rnacentral:rRNA from 1 species